UUGACCUCGGAUCAGGUAGGAAUACCCGCUGAACUUAAGCAUAUCAAUAAGCGGAGGAAAAGAAACCAACAGGGAUUGCCUCAGUAACGGCGAGUGAAGCGGCAACAGCUCAAAUUUGAAAUCUGGCCUUACGGUCCGAGUUGUAAUUUGUAGAGGAUGUUUUGGGCACCGCUCCGGGUUAAAUUUCUUGGAACAGAAUGUCAAAGAGGGUGAGAGUCCCGUCUUGGCCCGCGGUAGGACCUAUGUAAAACUCCUUCGACGAGUCGACUUGUUUGGGAAUGCAGGUCCAAAUGGGUGGUAAAUUUCAUCUAAAGCUAAAUAUUGGCCAGAGACCGAUAGCGCACAAGUAGAGUGAUCGAAAGAUGAAAAGCACUUUGAAGAGAGAGUUAAACAGUAUGUGAAAUUGUUGAAAGGGAAGCGCUGGCAACCAGACUCGAGCGCGGUGUUCCCCUUGGCUUCUGCCUUGGUUAUUUCACCGUGACCGGGCCAUCAUCAGUUUUGGGGGUUGGUUAAAGAUCUGGGGAAUGUAUCCUCUCUUUCGGGGGAGGACUUAUAGCCCUGGAUGUCAUGCAGCCUCCCGGGACUGAGGAACGCGCUUCGGCGAGGAUGAUGGCGUAAUGGUUGUCAGCGACCCGUCUUGAAACACGGACCAAGGAGUCUAACAUCUAUGCGAGUGUUCGGGUGUCAAACCCUUGCGCGGAAUGAAAGUGAACGGAGGUAGGAAGGCCUGAGCCUGCACUAUCGACCGAUCCUGAUGUCUUCGGAUGGAUUUGAGUAAGAGCAUAGCUGUUGGGACCCGAAAGAUGGUGAACUAUGCGUGAAUAGGGUGAAGCCAGAGGAAACUCUGGUGGAGGCUCGCAGCGGUUCUGACGUGCAAAUCGAUCGUCAAAUUUGCGUAUAGGGGCGAAAGACUAAUCGAACCAUUGGUAAUCACUACUAGGUGGUUAAGAGUCAAGUGUGAAAAGCACUGGCUAGUCGUGGGUCCACGGCAAGGUCGUCAAAUUGCGGGAACACCCUAAAGCCUGAGGUACCGCCGACCGUCCCGAAAGGGCGACUGGCACCACGGAGAGAUUUCGUGGGUAUGGUAACAAUCCAAAGGAUGGUCCAGGUCAAGUCCUGGGCCGCUGUAAUGGGCAAUCCGCAGCCAAGCCUGUUUCCUCCCUCCCUCCCUCUCAUGGGGGUGUGGUACGGGGGAGAUUGGGUGCAGUUCAUCGACUAGAUGUCGACCGGGUUCCGGGCUUGUUUCCACAAGUCCAGGGCCUCAAGAUAUAGUCAGGCCCCCGGGGAGACCCGGGCGAGGGGAUGAAGUAGGGAGGAUUGGACCCGGUACCACGUCUACCAGACGUGACGGUCCUGCCUACCCGAAUCCCUUUGGCUGGUCCAUUUGGACCGGUGGAUGAAAGCUGGUAGCUGGUUCCUGCCGAAGUUUCCCUCAGGAUAGCAGUAACGUUUUCAGUUUUAUGAGGUAAAGCGAAUGAUUAGAGGCCUUGGGGUUGAAACAACCUUAACCUAUUCUCAAACUUUAAAUAUGUAAGAAGUCCUUGUUACUUAGUUGAACGUGGACAUUUGAAUGUAUCGUUACUAGUGGGCCAUUUUUGGUAAGCAGAACUGGCGAUGCGGGAUGAACCGAACGCGAGGUUAAGGUGCCGGAAUGCACGCUCAUCAGACACCACAAAAGGUGUCAAUGCAUCUAGACAGCCGGACGGUGGCCAUGGAAGUCGGAAUCCGCUUAGGAGUGUGUAACAACUCACCGGCCGAAUGCAUUGGCCAUGAAAAUGGAUGGCG
rnacentral:rRNA from 1 species